UAAAGGCAGGUUUUGGGUUACCUGGCUAUGCGACAUUGCUGGCACCGCCCUCUCGUGGGACCCCAUUCAUGGCUUUCCCCAGGGGUGUGUGUGUUUGUGUGUAUGUGUGACCGCAACUGCAUGGUAACUUGUCUGCCAAACUUAUGUGCUCUGUUUACCACUAUAGGACAAUAUUGUCCCGCUGUUGUUAGCGUGGGCUGUCUGCUAUUUCAAUGCGGGUUGGCAUCCAGUUUGUGAACCAAAAAAAAUCAAUCUAGUGAAGAUGAUUGCGUUUAGUGAGAGUUAUAACUGCUAAUCGCUGCAGGUUGAUCUGGUUGUCCAACCACUUUCUGGGGGAUUAGAGGGUUACGUCCAUUGGUAUGACUGCGCUGUUGUUUUGCCUCUGAGAAUACCGUUGUGGUUCGCUUUGACUCCAACUCGGUACAACGGGGCUUCACGCCAUGUACCGGUAUUUUAGUCGGCAGUUAUGUGUUUGUUUUAUGUCAACUCUAUUUUUUUGGUUUUAUUUAUUUGUUGCUACUUGUCUCAGCACUCCUCUCUUUGUAUUUUGUUUGUUUUCUUUUAUGUAUGUGAUUUAAUAUCACCAUUAGUUUGUUCUGGGUCCUUCUAGAACUGAAGUAUGCACUAUUAAAUCUGCAUGUAUAAAA